UGGGGGAUAUUGCACAAUGGAGGAAACUCUGAUGCAGCAACGCCGCGUGAAGGAUGAAGGUCUUCGGAUUGUAAACUUUUGUACUUGGGGACGAUAAUGACGGUACCCAAGCAGCAAGCUCCGGCUAACUACGUGCCAGCAGCCGCGGUAAUACGUAGGGAGCAAGCGUUGUCCGGAUUUACUGGGUGUAAAGGGUGCGUAGGCGGCUAUGCAAGUCAGUUGUGAAAACUAUGGGCUCAACCCAUAGCCUGCAAUUGAAACUGCGUGGCUUGAGUGAAGUAGAGGUAGGUGGAAUUCCCGGUGUAGCGGUGAAAUGCGUAGAGAUCGGGAGGAACACCAGUGGCGAAGGCGACCUACUGGGCUUUAACUGACGCUGAGGCACGAAAGCAUGGGUAGCAAACAGGAUUAGAUACCCUGGUAGUCCAUGCCGUAAACGAUGAUUACUAGG
rnacentral:rRNA from 1 species